UAGAACUUCACAUGUCUUUCCCAUGUCCAAAUCUCAAAGCCCUUAGCCUUAACUGCUCAAAGUUGAGGACCCUUGAAUUUGGGUUGACUUUGCAUCCAGAGACGUUAAGUAUUCAAGGAUGUGAUUUGUUAGAACUUCACAUGCCUGGUGAGUGUUCAAACCUCAAAUCCCUCAUUAUUAACUCUUCAAAGUUAAGAUACCUUAGCCUUGAGUUGACUCCAAAUCUUGAGACAUUAUUGCUUAAAGAAUGUCAUGAUUUAUUAGAACUUCACAUACCCUUCCAAUGUCCCAAGCUAAAAUCCCUCAGCACUAGCUGUUUAAAGUUGAGGACCCUCAAUCUUGGGUCGACUCCGGAUCUUCAGACGUUAAUUCUCGAAGGAUGUCAUGAUUUAUCAGAACUUAACAUGCCCUUCGAAUGUGCGAAACUCAAAUCCCUCGACCUUAAUUGUAGGAUGUUGAAGACUCUCAAUCUUGGUUCGACUCCGGAUCUUGAGACGUUAAAUCUUGAAGGAUGUGAUCAUUUAUUAGAACUCAACAUGCCUUUUGAAUGCUUAAAGCUCAAAUCCCUAAACCUGCAAUACUGUAAGAUGUUAAGGAUCCUUAAUCUUGGGUCCACUCCGGAUCUUAUGACAUUAAGUCUUGGAAGAUGUUAUGGUCUAUUAGAGUUUCACAUGCCCUUUCCAUGUCCAAAGCUCAAAUCCCUCAAUGGUAACUUUUCAAAGUUCAGGACCCUUAAGCUUGCACCCACUCCGGAUCUUGAGACGUUAAGUCUUGGCGGAUGUCAUGAUCUAUUAGAACUUGACAUGCCCUUCCGAUGUGCAAAGCUCAAAGCCCUCAGCCUUAACUGUUCAAAGUUGAGGACCCUUACAUUUGGGCCGAUAUUGGAGAUAGAGACGUUAAGUAUUAAAGGAUGUGAUUUGUUAGAACUUCACAUGCCCAAUGAGUGUCCACAACUCAAAUCUCUCGGUGUUAUCUCUUCAAAGUUGAGGAUUCUUAACCUUGGUUCCACUCCAAAUCUUGAAAUGAUAAGUCUUGAAAGAUGUCAUGAUUUAUUAGAACUUAACAUGCCCUUCCAAUGUUCAAAGCUUAAAUCCCUCAACCUUUAUUGUAGGAUGUUAAGGACCCUUAAUCUUGGGUUGACUCCGGAUCUUCAGACGAUAAAUCUCGAAGGAUGUGAUGCUUUAUCAGAACUUAAUAUGCCCUUCGAAUGUUCAAAGCUUAAAUCCCUCAACCUUGAAGGUUGUAAGAUGUUGAGGACCCUUAAUCUUGGGUCCACUCCGGAUCUUGAGUCAUUAAGUCUUGUAAGAUGUUAUGAGUUAUUAGAACUUCACAUGCCCUUUGGAUGUCCAAAGCUCAAAUCCCUCAAUGGUAACUUUUCAAAAUUGGAGACCUUUAAACUUGCACCCACUCCUGAUCUCGAGACAUUAAGUCUUAGCGGAUGCCAUGAUUUAUUGGAACUUCACAUGCCCUUUCGAUGUCCAAAGCUCAAAGCCCUCGGUCUUUACUGCUCAAAAUUGAGGAUCCUUGAAUUUGGGCCGAUAUUGGAUCUAGAGACAUUAAGUAUUCAAGGAUGUGAUUUGUUAGAACUAUACAUGCCCAAUGAGUGUCCAAACCUCAAAUCCCUCUGUGUUGACUCUUCAAAAUUAAGGACCGUUAACCUUGGGUCAACUCCGGAUCUUCGGAUGUUAAGUCUUGAAAGAUGUCAUGAUUUAAUAGAACUUAACAUGCCCUUUGGAUGUCCAAAGCUCAAAUCCCUCAACCUUAGUGAUUCAAAGUUGAGGAUCCUUGACCUUAGGCUGACUCCAAAUCUCGAAAGGCUAGAUAUUAAAGAUUGUUUUGAUUUAGUAGAACUUCACUGUCUCAUUGGAUGUCUGGAAAAGCUUGUCUAUUUAAACUUAAGUGAUAGUUUGGGAUUUAAAUGUUUUUUGUUUGACAAGAAUAUCCAAUCACCUGGUGUUGUUUCUUUACAUCUGAUUGCAAAGUCUGUAAAAACAUGCCCAUUGCACUCUUGCAGUAAUUUGCAAAGUUUUGUGUUUUCAUGUUUAUAUGGUGAACCUAUAUCUUCUUCAAUCGGAAAUCUUAGAAAUCUUAUUUCAGUAGGUCUCUGUACUUGUACAAACCUUGAGAGCUUUUCAGAAAAUAUUUGUAAUUUACAAUCUUUAAGCAAGCUUACACUCGAAGGCAGUAUUCCUGAGGUUCCCAAGGACCUUGACCUAUUAGAAAGUUUAGAGGAGCUAAGUUUUUUGUCUGAAAAAAUUCAACAUCUUCCAAUUAGCAUAUGUAUGUUGAAACAUGUAAAACUUCUCAAACUUAAAUCCUGUUGGUUAAUUGAGAAGUUGCCCGAGGAUCUUGGGCGGUUAGAGUGUUUGGAGUAUCUUUACCUUAUAGACUGUAUACUUUUACGGGAUAUUCCGAAGAGCGUCUGUGAAUUGAAACGUUUAAAAUCUUUCCAUCUCCCCUACUGUAUGCUAGUUGAGAAAUUGCCGGAAGAACUUGGACGUUUAGAAUGUUUGAAAGAGUUGAAUGUAGAAGGUGCAGGCAUAACUCAUCUUCCGCAAAGUAUUUUUGGAUUGGAAGGUCUGUGUAUUAUUGGGUCAAGAUGGCGGCUUCAGUCGUACGGUUUUACAUCCAUGUAUCCCGUGUCACGAAGCUCAAGUUACAUGGUGUACUGCUACAUAGGUUCUCACAACAUGAGUUCCUUCUACCAAGAAGUAUUGUAGCAGGGGUGAAUUUGAGCUAGUUUUGUGCUCAUAUUGUAAAGAGUCUCCUGAAGAUGGUGAUGAUACAAUUGUGAAGUGCAAAACUGCAAGAGACCAGUGGACAGAUUUUAAAGACUUGUGGAAGGUGCUGUUUCAUCAACCCCUUUUCUGAUUCUUACCGCUGCAGCUUUCUAUGCCGAUUUUAGGCAUUGUGAUGCGACAUUGUGGGUUAGGUGUUGGACGUAUAUAUGCAGGUCCAAGGCUCCCAUCUCAACUUAAAAUAAUUUCUUAUACAUGCAUGAAGCUAAAUUAAUCCAAAACAUUGUUGAACAUAUUUCAUUCAAGCUUUGCGUCAUUAGAUCAAGCGCGGCCAAUGAAGAUUUAACCGGCACAAAGAUGCAAGUAAAAGACGUACCACUCUUGAAAACUGGUUAUGACAAUCUUGAAAUGAUAGGGAACAAGUGGGUGGCAGCCGGUGGUCGCUACUGAAGUUACAAAAGCUUCUUUGUCUGGUUUAAAGUCGUUUCAAAAAUUAGUCCUCUCGGAUGUAUCAAAGGAUCAAGGCAUCAUUGGCAAAAGUGUUUAUAAUGGUAAAGGCAUGAUGAAAAAGAUUAUGAAUGGCCCAAAAGUGAUACGAAGAAAGGCAAACAAGAAGGAAAUAAAUUCGGACAUUUGUGAAUCGAGCGAGUAAAUCAAUGAGACCUGUUGGUAUUAUUUUUAUGGUAUCUUCACUAGG